GUUCAAAUCUGAAAUCCAGCGGACUGGAGCAGUGCCAGAACGAUUGAAGAUUAGAGGCUUUAUUCAUAAUUCCUGGUGCAAAGAAUAGCAGCUGAUGUGGAGAAAUGUUUGAUGCUUCAAGACUCUCUGAAGCUGAUUAUAUUAGGUGCACCCAGUGGCUUUUGACUAGGCCUAUUCGAGGGUCACAUGGUUGUGAAUUCAUACCUCAACUUUGUGUCUGGAUUUUCAGUCUUAUUACAACUUCAGUCUGGCGUCCCGGGAGCAGGCGUCUUUUGCACACUUGAAUUAAUUUCAAAGAUGUUUUGUUGGAAUCACAACACUCACUGGAUACAAGACGGAUAUACAGAGGCAAAACAAGUGGAAAGGUCUCAGAGAAGAGGGAUAACCCUCAUGUGUGUGCU